GUGUUUAAUUAUGUAAUUACAAAUUGCAAAUUUUAUUUUUUUUAUUUUAUUUUAUUUUUUGCAAAUUGCAAUAUUUAUCUACAGCGCGCCUUUAGCGACACGUCAACAGAUCUUAAGCAAGGCGAUUGGAUGGUUUUUACUGCAAUGCAUCUUGGGAGUCGUAGUAAAUGGAUCUUUCAACUCACGGUCCUGCAGCGAAUUUUUCGACUCGACACGAGGCAGAUCUUAGCUAAAAAUGACAAAGCCAAAAACCAAACCAUGCCCUUCCUGUCAGGCUCCAAACACCUGCAACAGGAAGACAUGCAGUGGAUGCCUGGGCAGCCUGAAGGUAAAGGAGGGAUUGAAAAAAAAAAACAAGAACAGCAACUGGGCUGCCUCUGUUAAAAAAAAAAACAAACAGAAAUGCGAGCAGGCUGGUUAAUUCAGCCCAGUUAUCAGUAAGGUUUCAAAACUACAUGCCCUGGGCUACCAGCCUAUUCUGUUUCUUGGACAGUUUGACCGAAAGGGCCGUAUAGUAGGGGACGUGAUCACAUAGAGCCAGCAGAUGGUGCUGCAUGUGACAUCCUCAUGAAGAUGAGGAAACUUUAUGAACACCUUCUGAGAAAAUGCCGAAAACACCGUACACAGAAGAUUUUCAAAUAUGAAGAGAUAGUAGACAGGAGAGUUGUAAAUGAAAAAGAAGUUAAAGUCAAGUGGAAGCCCUGCUCGAUAUGGUAUGUAGUAACAACUUUGUUGGACGGGAACAGACAUUCAUAUUGUUGAUAAAUAGUUAUCACCUCAAUUUGAAUUCAUGUAUUUGGACUAAAGUAAAUUGGGAGCUUUUAGCUUUUAGCUGAGGAGCUUGAUAGCUGUCCACCUCCAAAGUUCAUUAUGAGAUUUGGAGGUGGACAUGGUCAACACUUUUAAGAGUAGGCAUAAGACUUUACUUUUUUAUAGAGCUUAUAGUUAGGGCUGGUUCAGGUCAGCCCUUAGUUAUGCUGUCAUAGGACCAGACUGCUGGGGGUUAGUGUCCCCCCCCCCUCUCUGUCUGUCUCUUUCAGGGUUAUGCAGGCUCAGUAUUGGUUGAAGAUGCAGUCACAUCUCCUUUUACUGAAAACUCUCCCCCUCUCCCUCACUACCAUCUGUAAGCACACAUGUCUCAGUAAUGCAGUUCAUGCAUGUUACUAACUAAACUUCUUCCCUGGAGUUUCUGUGCUCUCUCAUCCAACAGGUUCCGAUGGAUCGCGGCUGCUGCUGUGGUCCUGCUUGACAUGUACUCCAUAUAUUAUUACUCUCUGACUUGAUUUGAUUAAUUUAUAUUACAAUGAAGGUGUAUAAAGCAUGACAUGAAUAUAGAAGAUAUUUCAUCCUAAAAAAUUGUCAUAUGUCACAACCUAAAUUAUCCUAUUUUGUGUGUGGUUGUCGUUGUUGUUUGUUAUAUUUUUCCCCUGACAGUGGCAAAGUGUGGGAUGACACAUGGGAACCUGCGCAGUUUUACACACAGUAAACCAGAUGCCUGUGUGCGAUCGCACAGUUCAGUUUGUAGU